UGCAGAAAAUGAGUUGAUAGUACAC
rnacentral:piRNA from 1 species